rnacentral:snRNA from 1 species
GCUUUUGUUAAAUUUAAAAGCCCUUUGGAACGAUACAGAGAAGAUUAGCAUAGUCCCUGUGCAAGGAUGACACGCAAAUUCGUGAAGCGUUCCAUAAAACC